GUUAGCUUGGCAAGAGAAUAAAGUGUUCACCAUACCUAGAUAGGAAAGUGCAUGAAUUUCAUAACAAAUAAUUGAAAAAAUGAGGUUGCACUUCUUAAGCAGCAUGACUCUAUAGUCAACACAGCUGAAAUCAUAUUAAAUCUCAUAGAAUUCUCACACUGUUAAUCAGAUUAUUAUUGUAUGAAUAAUGUGUUCUAUGAACCCAAUAUAGGAAUGCAUGGACCUGAUUUCUUCCCUGAGAAACAGCGAUUUGAUUGUUGUUGUGGCGUGCUUACUGAAAAAAAAGUAAAGCGGCACAGGUGGAUGAAGAAUGGAAACUGGAUACAGUUCAGCACACAUUUGUCUCUGCUGUGCCUUCCUGCCCACACUGUUCCUCUCCUCCAAUGUGAGGUCCCUCCCACAGGAAACAAUCAUCCAGGAGCUCCUCCAACAAGAGCCCUCCCCACAGGCUGCCAUUCUUCAUGACCUGCUCCAGCAGACAUCCAUCCAGUGGGGUUCAGUCACUCAGGAACAGCCUGUUCCUGUGUGAGUCUCCAUGGGGGUCACAAGUUCUGCCAGGAAAUCCACUCCAGUGUGGUCCAUCUCUUCACAGGGCCACAGCCGCUGCCAGGAUCUUGUUUCAGCACAGACUUCUCACAUGGUCACAGCUUUCUUUGGGCACAUCUAACCCUUCCCUGUGGAGCUGUGAGGUCCUCCACAGGCUGCAGGCAGAUAUCUGCUCUCCCAUGGAUCUCCAUCAGCUGAAGAUAGACAACCUGCCUACCAUGGUCUUCAACAUGGGCUGCAGGGGAAUCUGCUCUGGCACAUGGAGCACCUCCCGCCUGUCCUUCUCCACUCACUUAGGUGUCUGGUGAGCUUCUCCAACACACUCUCAAUCCUCACUUCCAGGUGCUACUGCACAGCAGAUUUAACCUGUUCUUAAAAAGUUAUCCUCAAACACUGCCACUGUUACUUAUGGCUUGGCUUUGGCCUUGGUGGUCAGUGUGUCUACCUUGGUGCCAUCUGUCAGUGACUCUAUUAGACAUGGGGCAAACUUCUGUCAGCUUCUCAUAGAAACCACCUUUGUAGCCCCUCCACUACCAAAAACUUACUCUCUUCAAUCCUGAUUCCCAGUGUCCAAGUAGUCCAGAAAGUGGCAAGGCUAUGACAAAAAGAUGUGGCUCUCCUGUUUUUAUGACCAGAGAUAUUUUGUAGCCUAGUCUUUUGGCUUUUUGGUUGUCUAUGUCCAAUGAAUUUGAAUUUUGGAAUGGAAAUUUUUAGAUGAAACUUUGCUUUAUGUAUAUAUUGUAGCAUACAACUAAGAAAACUGCUUGUACAAUCAAAAUUACUUGCCUCCUGUUGGAGCUAAGAAUGAAAUCAGGAAAGGGAUUGCAAAUAUGGAUGCAAGGUUCUUCAGCAGUUACUUUAUAUGCAUGAAUGAUUUGCACAGAGGACUGGAUACUGACCCAAAUUUAAUUUCUGGUCAAGAGGCAAUUUAAAUGUGCAGUCCUGGCAAUGCUGCAGACUGCAGCAAAUCAAAGCACAAUCCAUUCUUUGUGCCAUACACCAGUCAAUAAUGUCAGUACACCUGACAAAAACUAUAACCAAAAUGUAAAGGCUGUAUCUAAAACUAUUGUUAUGUGUGUUAUGGAUAAUCCAUGCCUACAAAGAGAAAUAUAUAUGAAAUAUGUUAUGUUGGCGAAAAAUAUACUUGUAAGUUUUUAAGCACAUGAGACAGAGUCAGGGGAUUGUCUCACAUAUGUGGAAACCACUGUUGACAAAAGGGAGGAGGAUUUCAUUUGCAAACAAAUAAACAUAGCUGCCCCAGAUGGGUCAUUCCCCAAGGUGAUCUGAGGAACUCCCAAGUGAUUAUAGACUCGAUAAAUAUCUAAGACUGAGAUAGCUGGAGCCAUCGGAAAGAUACAUCUCAAUGCCAAUUUCCAGUAACUCAGUCAUGGACAGACAUCGCUCUCCGGACACUGUUUUGUUCAGCUCUGUGGAUAAGAGAAACUCCAUGAAUAUGUGGGACUCUGAAAGGAAGAAAAGCUUGAUCACCAAGAACUCUGCCUCAGGCAGAAUAAACGGUAUAAAAACUGCUUGAACGGGACGGUCGGUGUGAACAUAGGAGACCCUGUGCUGUAGUGGUUGGACCGGUGUCUCACCCAGCCCCGAUCCUGGGCUCGGCACUGUCCUUUUCACUGUGGCUGUCUUCGACCAAAUCUUGAUUGCUAAAUAAAAAUUUAUUUUUAUUUAUUAA